rnacentral:rRNA from 1 species
AGUGAACGCUGGCGGUAGGCCUAACACAUGCAAGUCGAACGGCAGCACAGUAAGAGCUUGCUCUUACGGGUGGCGAGUGGCGGACGGGUGAGGAAUACAUCGGAAUCUACUUUUUCGUGGGGGAUAACGUAGGGAAACUUACGCUAAUACCGCAUACGACCUACGGGUGAAAGCAGGGGAUCUUCGGACCUUGCGCGAUUGAAUGAGCCGAUGUCGGAUUAGCUAGUUGGCGGGGUAAAGGCCCACCAAGGCGACGAUCCGUAGCUGGUCUGAGAGGAUGAUCAGCCACACUGGAACUGAGACAAGGUCCAGACUCCUACGGGAGGCAGAAGUGGGGAAUAUUGGACAAUGGGCGCAAGCCUGAUCCAGCCAUACCGCGUGGGUGAAGAAGGCCUUCGGGUUGUAAAGCCCUUUUGUUGGGAAAGAAAAGCAGCAGGUUAAUACCCCGCUGUUCUGACGGUACCCAAAGAAUAAGCACCGGCUAACUUCGUG